GCCGGGCAUGGUGGUGCAUGUCUGUAAUCCCAGCUACUCAGGAGGCUGAGGCAGGAGAAUCACUUGAACCCAGGAGGUGGAGGUUGCAGUGAGCCGAGAUCACGCCACUGCACUCCAGCCUGGGCGACAGAGUGAGACUCUGUCUCAA
rnacentral:SRP_RNA from 1 species